rnacentral:lncRNA from 1 species
GGGACUUGUUUUAGGACCAGUGAAGUUGUUGCUUUAAAAAAAAAGGCUAUAUAAAGCCUUAGGUUAAAGUCUUCCUCCAUCAGACUGUGCUGAUUAAGUUACUUUUCUCUGAUACUUGUAUGAUGCACUCAACUGGAACGAAGGUGCGGCUUUUGAAGUCCAGUGCUUAGAUGUGGAGACCUGUGACUAAGCAGGAAGGAUUUCUGAGACCAUCAUUGCAGCCUUUCAGGUCACCAGGACUCAGGAGAAGGACUGAACCAUCUUCAGCUAGAGAAUGGAACUUUUCAGGUUUGAGCAGCCCCGCUCAAAGAGGAAAAUGGAGUUUUUUUGAUCAGGCAUGGUCCACAACCUUUCCUUCCCCGGAACCGGACAAAGUUAUGGAGCAUGUAAAGGAACUAUUUAAUUUCAUGACCUAGACUUAACUGUUCUUAGGAUUCCAGCCCCUGGAUUGGAAUACAACCCCAACAACCAAGCAGAGGCAAAGUUUGCUUUGGUAUCAUUUGCAAGCCACUCGGGAUGAAGUACUUAUUAUGUAUUCUUUUUCGUGCAACCCUCUGAUUUCACAAGUGGGUUUGGGCAACGUAUGCUGAAGCCAGUCUGAACCAAGAGUCAUUUGUUAAUAUUCAGUGUGAGAAUUUUACACUUUAGAAUUGGGGGGGGGAAUAGGGGCUUGAUUUAUUGUUCUGUUGAUUGUCCAGACCUGAGAAAGUGUUAACGCAGAUUAAAUUUAAAAGUGUAUUUACAUAUAUUCUCCUCCCCCCCCCAAGAGCCUAGUUGUUAAACAUUUACCAGCACACCUCUGUUUUGCUCUAUAAAUACUGUUUGAGCUCAGCAAGACUGCAAGCCCCAGAAGGCUCAGGGAAUGAAGUCUUUGCCAAACUGAAGGCCAGACUGGAAGUAAUAAUGAUGAUAAUUAGCAUAUGUAUAGCACUUUGAAGUUUGCAAAGUGCUUUACCUCCAUUCUUUCAUCUGAACCUCACAAUAACUUUGAGUGUGGGGAUUUGCUAGGAUAGAAACUCCUAGAAAUGGCAACACGUAUCUUAGAAUAGCCUUAGAGAGUUGCCUGGGGCAAGUUAAUGGGCUUGCCCAUUACCUCUUGGUCUUUAGUAAGAAUCAGGACUCGAACUUUGGUCUAACGUCAGACCUGCCCUCUUGUCAUUUGUUUCUGUAUUUGAUUUUAUAGCCAUAUCUAACAAAAAACAAUCCUGGGCCAACAACUUUAAAGAAGUCCAGAUAGUCAUUAAGAACCACUUAACUACCAGGCUGGUGAUGUAAACUAGGAGAUCAAGGGACUCUACUAGAGCCAGAGGUUGAUUAUCAACCAUACUAACAUUUUCUGGACCCUCAACCAAGAUCUUCUGAAUAAAACAGCUUCCUUGGAGCCCA